rnacentral:lncRNA from 1 species
CCAAAUGAUCAAUUAGAAGGGAUUAAUAGUGAAAGCAUGUUUAAAGAGUAAGCCACUAAGAAACUAACGCAGUCCAAAUCCAUUACCAAAUUAACAAUCCAAGUAAGAGCACAAAGUGUCUUGGUCCUUUCACUGGGUGUGCCCAUGCAUAAUAAUACUCACCAAUAACUUAGUUGAUUUGAAUUGAGGAGCUAGCAAUCAUGCUUAGGAAUGGAGUUGUUGGGAUCCUGGCAGAAUCAGUGAAAUAAAUGGUAAAGAAGGGCACCUUUAGCACCAUUACACUGUGCUAGAUUACUUCAGGGCAGAACAGGAGUUUCCAGAAUUAUUGUGCAGCCAUCCACUAAGAGAAUUCACCAUGAUUAUAAAGCAAACCAAAUCUAGAGAUGAUUUUACCGGAUAGAGCUUAUGCUUUCUUCUCCCAUACCCGUAAGGCACAGAAAGAGAAUAUGCCUUUACUGGAUAAGAUCCUAGCUGACAAACAACACAAACAGAAGCAUAUUAUAAACCAGUCAUAUGAGUAAUUCAAAGAGGAAAUGCAAACUAGAAGUCAUCACCAGUUGGCAUAUUCCUUUUCAGUUAUGUAUUCCAGUAAGCAUAAAAGGCAUUUCAGUAGGGAAUGUUCAGAAAAAGAUUCCAAAACAGCAAGGUUAGGCAGCAAUCCUGGUCAUGUUAAAUGAAGUAAUGAGUGGCAAAAUGAUUUAGUAAUCAUUGAGCAUUAUGUAAAAAUGAAAGAAUAAUCAGAGUAUGUAAAACAGCAAAAGUCAGAAAACAAAUACCAUUUGCCAGUAGUUACUAUUCGAAUCAUCAUUGAAAUUCAAGAUAUAUAGGAGUUACACAUACAGCAAACGUUACAAUCAGGAUAGACAUAUGGUAGCAAGCAUUCAAGAGUUGCAUAUGAAAAGCAUGAAUGAUUAGAAUUCCAGAUAGACAAAUACCAAACCAAAAGCCUUCAGUUAUACUUUCAUAAUAGGCAAUGAUGAGCCAGAUUAAGGGUAAAAGUAAAACAACAAUGCAAUGGGCAGCCUAAGGAUCAAUCAUCAGAAAACAUUGGUUGUUGGGACAUUUUUCAGUUAUGUGAUUGUCAUUAUCAGUAUGGUUUGAUGGCAUUCAUUGGCAGCUUCAAAUACAUUAAAACAGGAAAUGAAUAGGUCAC